UACGUAGGUGGCAAGCGUUGUCCGGAAUUAUUGGGCGUAAAGCGCGCGCAGGUGGUUUCUUAAGUCUGAUGUGAAAGCCCACGGCUCAACCGUGGAGGGUCAUUGGAAACUGGGGAACUUGAGUGCAGGAGAGAAGAGUGGAAUUCCACGUGUAGCGGUGAAAUGCGUAGAGAUGUGGAGGAACACCGGUGGCGAAGGCGACUCUUUGGCCUGUAACUGACACUGAGGCGCGAAAGCGUGGGGAGCAAACAGG
rnacentral:rRNA from 1 species